CAAUAGCGUAUAUUAAAGUUGUUGCGGUUAAAAAGCUCGUAGUUGGAUUUCUGUUGAAGACGGUCGGUCCGCUCUAUGAGCGUGUAUCUGAUUCGGCUUUGGCAUCCUCGUGGGGAACGUAACUGUGCUUGAUUGCAUGGUGCGGUAUUCACGACUUUUACUUUGAGGAAAUUAGAGUGUUCACAGCAGGCAAGCGCCUUGAAUACAUUAGCAUGGAAUAAUAAUAUAGGGCUUUGGUUUCUAUUUUGUUGGUUUCUAGGACUAAAGUAAUGAUUAAUAGGGAUAAUUGGGGGCGAUUCGUAUUUAACUUAGUCAGAGGUGGAAAUUACUUGGAUUUGUUAAAGACGGACUACUGCGAAAGCAUUUGUCCAAGGAUGUUUUCAUUGAUCAAGAACGAAAGUUAGGGAGUCGAAGAUGAUCAGAUACCAU
rnacentral:rRNA from 1 species